CCUCCCAAGUAAAGCUGUAGGGAAUUGGGCUUUUUAUCUGCAAGUUUUGGCUUCAGAUGAUAUCACCUCCAGACAGUUGUACUCAAGUCACAAGGUCAACUUUGCUUUCGAUUCCAAAAUUGCUAAACUUGGCUGAUUUUUACUGUUUUCUAGUGGUGCAAUUCUCUGCCUUUCAAGAAGCUACGGCAGACGGGAUAAGACUUUCAAAAGGACUUGAUGGGAUUUUUGUUGUUGUUCAUAAAAUCCUGCAGCACUCCCCUUCUUUGAGCUACUGACUCAUUAGGACUAAGAAGUUGCCAGUUCUUCAGCUGUUGUGAAUGCAGCUCCACUGACAUGGAUGGGCUGAUGCUGUUCCUCGAGGACCUAGCAAGUGUGUUACCUGGGAUGCUGCACAUACGUGAUUAAAACGGCCACAGAACAUCAGCCUUUCUCCAGUUUCUGUGUGCUUACUGAAGUGCUGUAUGGAAAGGACAAUUAAAGGCGAGUUGCAUUCCUGAAAAGGGAUAGCCUGUCGCACAGGUUUUUGGUUGAUUUUUCACAAAGAAUGAUCUUGUGGGCCUCGUUUUUGGCUGACCUCCAGGAGCAGGGAGAUCUGGAUUCUCUUGCGAUAAACCUCUGGGUGACUUUGGAUGCCGUACUAUACUGCCUGCUGCAUUGGUUUCCCCAUCUGAUGGAUGCAGUCUUUCGGGGAUGGCAAGAAAUCUUUCAAAUCCUUUGGAAAUGCUUCAGGAAAUGGUAGCACAGUACAAAGAAUUCCUGGUUGGAAAAACAGAGUAUGUGGCUACAAUAGCUGAAGGCUGGAACAAGUGACAGUAGGAGAGAGUCUGGAGCUCAAGACCACAUGGCCAAGUGCCCUAGGAACUUCAGCUUUACAGCAGCAAAACGUGAGUGCUUUCUGUAUCAAAGCUGUUUGAACAAUCCAGAUUAAACCGUUUUUUUCCUUCAAAUGGCUAAUUUGGGAGCGUGCGGAGCUGUAGCCUCUUUGUCACCACCUCAUGCACCUAUGGGCCCACAUACCUAAGCAAAGGAGCCAGAGGACGUUUCUACCUGCCCCUGCCCUUGCCCCAUAACCUACCUCCCUUUGCUUUCCUGCCUGGAGAGGGAACAAGGGGCCGUGCGGCACAAGCAGAACAGGCACUGCUGCGUGAACCAUCGGGAAUGCGUAACUGCUCCUCAGUAAGUUGCCAGACUGCCUUAAAAAGGAC